UGUAAAAGUGAAUAUGGGUGUAAGUUGGAUUGCUAUAACUAUUUGAGUCUAAUUACUUCUUCUUUCUGCGAAUUGCUCUCAAUAUUGUACACUCAACUACUCAAAUAUCUCACUUUCAGCCAAAGGAUAAUUUCUCUUUAAGGACCCCGUGACAGACGGUUUUUUUUUCUGACGUCAUGACUCACGAGCCUUUCUCGAGUUUUCUGCUCGGCCGCCAUUAAUUUCCCCUGGACUCGGAUGAAUUAAGGAUCUAAAACUCUUCAAUGUUUGACGACUAAGGACACUUUGCAAUAACUUUACAUGUGACAGUAACCAUUGACAUUACAUUAAUCACAGAAGAUCACAGUUCCAGCUAAAAAUAUUUACUGUUCUACUGAAGAAAUAAAAAAAAAAGUCAACUUGAAUGGCCUGAUGGUAAAUUAACAGCUAGCUUUCAUUUUUCGGUGAAAUAUCCCUUUAAUCAAGAAUUAUUAAAUAUAUUGGGGUAUAAAGCUAAUUUAUUAAUUGAUGCAUGUUUUAUUUUCAGACUUAUAAUUAUGUAUUAUAAAUUCAUAAUUUUAAAUGAAACCAAUGACUGAUUCAGAUGCAUUUCUUAAUUGCAAAUCUGUAGUAUUUUAGCACUGACGAAGGCCUGUGUGCUGAAACGCAUUGGAAAAAUAAAGAAUUUAUUUUUUUUAGCUCUUUUUUUAAUUUUUUUUUUUUCUUUUUUUUUUUUGGAUCCCUCAACGCCACAACUGUUGCUGGUAUUGUCCAUAAAUAUAUUAAUUGCAAAUUUGGCCAGUCAUUAAUACGAAUUAUUUUUAUAUUUUCUUGUCCUUUGCUAUUGCAUAUUGCUAUUUUUAAAUAAGAAAAAUAAUCACAAUUGCUUUAUCACAGACUGAAAACAUUCACCUGAGAAGUGUGUCCUGAAGGCCCUUAUCUUUUUCCUGAGAGAAAGUCCUGAAGACCUCAUCAAGGAGUACUUUCUGAGUUGAACGAUAACCCGACAGAUGAUUGAGGAGCAGCUCACCAUGGUGAUGUUCAUUAUUUGGAAGGAGGGGGAGAACUUCAUGAACCAUCUGCUGACAUUGAGGGAGUUAAAGUUUUGAAUCAACUUACUUAAGUUACAUCAGCUUGUGCCCUGCUUCUAGGUAUGAUAUACAUCAUCAACCUGGCUUGUCCGAAACCCCUUUGAUUUACUUUGUAUGUGUAUGUUAGAGCUGCACAAUUUAUCGUAAAAGAUCGCAAUCUCAAUUCAAACACCCAUCCUACUUUAUUAAUGACAACAAUUCGCCUGCGUCUAUUAAACCUUUGACAAAGAUUCCUACCGGAACAUUCGGUGUUCAUGCUGCCACUGAUCCAGAGACAGCAGUUUUGAACCACACUGUAGUUAUUCAAGGAUUUGGUUAUUUUGGUUAUUUGACACCUAAGAUAGUGCCUAAAGCCUGCGGGAGGAUCAUCUCAUGCAGUAUGACCACAUUUUGUUCACGUUGGAUGGCCAGUUAAUCACAGAGUAGAGUGAGGACAUCUUGAUGGCACUGGACCUCCUCCUAUGUGUAUAUUUUGCAUUUGGAAUCGAAUCCAAUCCAGUAUCCUAAAGGACUGAAAAAGACACUGACCUUUUUGAAGUGUGUUGUUUUGAAAUUGAAGGAUGCAGACGGACUUCCUGUCACUGUAAAUUGAGUGUACAACUCAAUCUGUGAGUAGAAUUUCGGAGUCAAUAUUCUCUCUUGCUCCCUUUCUUAUGGUUUUAGUUCCAGUUUCUAUAUUGUUUUUGAAAUCAUGAAGGACUUACAAAAAUGUUAGUUUCUAUACUUUGGACUUUUAUUUAUGUUGCCUAGCAGGUUUUUUGUCUUAUUUUUGUUCUUGUACUAUAUUUUUUGUUUUGUACUAUUUGAUUGAUCUUGAGUAAAUAAAUAAUGUACAUUUCUA